rnacentral:misc_RNA from 1 species
GUGAAGCUUGGGGCUUGCCAUACGGACGCGCCACCGCGCGUCUCUGGCGCCCACCACUAUAUCCACACCCACCCCUGUGCACUGUGAUGGCGUCCAAGUCAUCGACCACAAAAACUCGUAUGGUUUUGUAUGUACGUGAACAUAGUAGGGGAUGGUCCUACGAACUAUACA